rnacentral:rRNA from 1 species
CUUGACUCUUAUAAGAGGUCCAGCCUGCCCAGUGACCAUGUUCAACGGCCGCGGUAUCCUAACCGUGCGAAGGUAGCGUAAUCACUUGUUCUUUAAAUGUGGACUAGUAUGAAUGGCACCACGAAGGUUAUACUGUCUCCUUUUUCUAAUCAGUGAAACUAAUCUCCCCGUGAAGAAGCGAGGAUAUACCUAUAAGACGAGAAGACCCUAUGGAGCUUUAAACAACACAGCAAUUACCUGCUAAACUAAGAAGUUUCUGAACAUUUUCAAUCUUUUAAGUAAUCUGACUGCAAGUUUUUGGUUGGGGUGACCACGGAGCAUAACACAACCUCCAUGUUGAAAGAAUUCUUUCUAAGCCAAGAACAACCUUUCUAAGCAUCAAUAUAUUGACAUCCAUUGACCCAAUACAUUUGACCAACGAAC